AGCGAACGCUGGCGGCAGGCCUAACACAUGCAAGUCGAACGAACUCUUCGGAGUUAGUGGCGGACGGGUGAGUAACACGUGGGAACGUGCCUUUAGGUUCGGAAUAACUCAGGGAAACUUGUGCUAAUACCGAAUGUGCCCUUCGGGGGAAAGAUUUAUCGCCUUUAGAGCGGCCCGCGUCUGAUUAGCUAGUUGGUGAGGUAACGGCUCACCAAGGCGACGAUCAGUAGCUGGUCUGAGAGGAUGGCCAGCCACACUGGGACUGAGACACGGCCCAGACUCCUACGGGAGGCAGGAGUGGGGAAUCUUGCGCAAUGGGCGAAAGCCUGACGCAGCCAUGCCGCGUGAAUGAUGAAGGUCUUAGGAUUGUAAAAUUCUUCCACCGGGGACGAUAAUGACGGUACCCGGAGAAGAAGCCCCGGCUAACUUCGUGCCAGCCGCCGCCGUAA
rnacentral:rRNA from 1 species